GAAGAAGCCUGCAAUGAAUGCCUUCCAGCAUGUACAGAGAUAUCGUAUUAUGAACGUCUUAGUACCGCGCCACUCAACAGAAACCUUAUAAAUAACUACGUCCAAAGUCUUCACCUAUCACAAAACAAAUCAAAUGAUUAUUUUUUAUCAAACAUGUUAUUAAUUCACUUUUACUUCGAAGAUACAACAUUUUUGAGAUUUACCAAAGGCGAGAUAUUCGGAUUAACCGAGUUUCUUUCUAACACUGGAGGUCUGUUGGGCCUGUGUAUGGGAUUUAGUGUGAUGAGUGCAGUAGAAUUGCUCUAUUAUCUGACACUGCGAGCUUUUUGCGUUGCAAGACAUAGGAGCACCCGAAUC